rnacentral:lncRNA from 1 species
UAUCAUGUAAGCACCAUACAUGAUAUCAGGUAUUGCAACAGACAGCACAACAUAAAAUUCAGUCUAACAACCCGCAGACUAUGUCUUGACUCUGACCAGGUUUCCACAUGGCUAAUCUAAAUGUCUUGAGACCAGGAUUCCAAAAUGGCUAACUAAUUGACAUCUCCUUUUCGCUCAAGACAAUGGUUUUUCCCAAUGGCUAACUAUAGCAUCUUGUUUUCGCCUUCAGGUGGUG